rnacentral:rRNA from 1 species
AUUGAACGCUGGCGGCAGGCCUAACACAUGCAAGUCGAACGAGUGGCGGACGGGUGAGUAAUGUCUGGGAAACUGCCUGAUGGAGGGGGAUAACUACUGGAAACGGUAGCUAAUACCGCAUACCAUCAGAUGUGCCCAGAUGGGAUUAGCUUGUUGGUGGGGUAACGGCUCACCAAGGCGACGAUCCCUAGCUGGUCUGAGAGGAUGACCAGGCACAGUGGAACGGAGACACGGCCCAGACGCCUCAGGGAGGCAGCAGUUGGGGAUAUUGGACAAUGGGCGAAGGCCUGAUGCCGCGACGCCGCGUGGGGGAUGAAGGCUGUCGGGUUGUAAACCUCUUUCGCUAGCGAACGGGUAGGUGGAGAAGAAGCGCCGGCUAACUACGUGCCAGCCGCCGCGGUAAUAC